UGUCCAAUUUGUUUCGUAGAAGUGAGUCAUUUUGCAAGACAUUUGGAAAGAAAACAUGAUGACGAAAGUCGAGUAAAAAAGAUUUUAUCUUUUCCAAAAGGAUCUAAUGAAAGGAAAACCUUAUGGGAUUAUUUACGCAAGGAAGGAAAUUUUCAUUUGUUUAGAGAAGAAAAAAAAGUGGUGGCUGUUCGAAGGCCCACGGAAGCCCAAGCAUUAGACUUUGACGAUUUUGUUGUUUGCGAAAACUGUUCUGGGGUGUACAAAAAAUUUUUUUCUAUAAGCAUGCUAAAAAUGCCAAGAAAAACACUGGUACAAAGUGUGGGCGACUAAAUGCCUUAACUCAAUCCCAAACAUUUUCAGCGGAUUCUCGCUGCCAAAACAGUUUUUUAUCACAGUCAAGAUUAAAGAAAGAGGUAUUUUGCAUUAUGAAAGCAGAUAAAAUAAGCGCCACCUCAAAAAAUGAUAUUUUUAAUAUGUUUAUUCGGGGAAACCCAUCUUAAAAAACAUAAAAGAAAGCAAAUUGUAACAGUAGCAACAAAAUGAGAGAAUUAGCAAGACUUUUGAUUGCUCUUAGAGAGUUCACACCUGUUCAGAACCUAAUUGAUGCUAUGAAACCAGAAUUAUUUGACGAUUUAGUUACGGCCACAAAAGUAAUUUCGGGAUUUAGCAAUGCCGAUAAAAGCUUUAAAUCUUCUUCAUUAGCACUUCAUAUGGGUACCACUUUAAAACAAGUAUGCGAUAUAACUAAUCGAAUGAUUUUAAAAAAAUUUCUAUUCUUUACCUUUAAAAACCCUAAUGAGGAAAAAAAGCAUUCCAGAUUUUAAAACAUUAGAGACCAGUUGGGCCAAUGAAAUUUCUUCAUUAGGCCUUAAAACAAUAAAAGAACGGCAAUGGGAAAACCCCAAAUACUGCCGGUGACAAGUGAAGUAAUUAAGUUUAAUAGUUUUGUCAAAAAUCAGGUUGAAGACAGUGCCAAAAAAUUAAACAAACUUUUAGAAAAGAAGGGGAAACAAAAUGACAAAAAUAAUUUACUUCCUUUAUAUAAAACCUUAGCAAAAGGAGUAAUGGCCCUUCUUUUAAUACUAAAUAGAAAACGCAUCGGUGAGAUUCAAUACCUUGAAAUUUCUACUUACAAAAGAUCAUUUGCGGACCCCAGUGUUCAACAAGAAAUUGCUGAAAGUUUAACUGUUUCAGAAAAACUAUUGUGUAGAAACUUUUAGAAGAAUUAUUUUAUUUUAAUUUCUCCUUUUUUAAACGAGAAAAUUGAGCUGAUGAUUAAAAUAAGAGAAAAAAUAAAAUUAAUUCCAAAAGAUAAUAAAUACAUUUUUGCAAAUCCCAAUUCGUCGAAAGGUUGGUUUCAUGGAACAAGUGUAAUUAAACAAUUUGCAAAAAGCUGUGGGGCAAAGGAUCCCAACUCUCUAACUUCUACCGAAUUUCGAAAACAGACUGCAACAAUUUUACAGAUUAUGGAUAUUCAUAAUACUGACAUGGAACAAUUAGCCACUUUUAUGGGUCAUACAAAAAAAACCAUGAAGAAUGGUAUAGUUGUAAUAUUUUUUUAGACUUCCUCAAGAUCUAUACCAGACUGCAAAAAUAGCCAAACCAAUGAUCGCUUUAAAUAAAGGUGAUGUUAAUAUUUACAAAGGAAAGAGCUUAGACGAUAUCAAUAUAGAAGAAAAUGACUACUUGGAAAUUGAAAACAUAGAAACAGAAGUAAAUGAAAUAAAUGAAAACGUAGGAUUAGUGUACUCGCAUUGGUAAUUGCCUAAAAGUUUAAUAAUCCAUUUUUUAAAAUUAACAGAGCCUACUCAUUCUUGGAGUCCUAAAAGUAAUUGUAGCGAUGUAACUGACGAAAAAAUUGAACAAGCUAAUAAAAAUGGUAGGUAAAAGAUUAUUAUAAACGAAGUCUUAAAAAAUCAUUACAAUAAAUAUUAUAAAUGAAAAAAAAAGAUGAGUAGCUCCUAACUCUUAAAGCAGUUUUCUACUUAAAAGUAACAAAUAAAUAAUUAUUAUUAAUCUGCAGAAAAAGUUUCGUCGAAGGGUAAAAGAAAGUUAUCUACCGAUGAAAUGACGCAUCCAAUGCAAAAUAAUAAAGUUACAAAAAGAAAGCCAACUACUGAAAAAACCGAAAGCAGUUCAAAUGCGAUUGCAGGCACCGAUGGACCGAAAAGGACAAACAAACGAUGCUUAAAUACUUUACAAGAUUCAUAAAAGAAAAAGAGUUCCGAAAAAAGCAGACGUACAGGAAUUUAAAAAAAAAAUAAAGCUGGAGAAAACUUUAAAUCAAUUGAUGGGGUAAAAAUUAAAACGUUUGUUUACAAUUCUUACAGAAUGUAGUUUUUGUGAAGUUUUUAUUAAAUAACGUGUUUCUAAA